UUCGGAGAGUUUGAUUCUGGCUCAGAACGAACGCUGGCGGCGUGGAUAAGACAUGCAAGUCGAACGAGAUCCUUAGCAAAGCUUGCUUUGCUAAGUCUAGUGGCGAACGGGUGAGUAACACGUGAGCAACCUGCCCAGAAGCAGGGGAUAAGCCACCGAAAGGUGGUCUAAUACCGUAUGUGAUACCAAGAGGCAUCUCUUGGAUAUUAAAGGGGGGGACCUUCGGGCCUCCCACUUCUGGAUGGGCUCGCGGCCUAUCAGCUUGUUGGUGAGGUAACGGCUCACCAAGGCAACGACGGGUAGCUGGUCUGAGAGGACGAUCAGUCACACUGGAACUGAGACACGGUCCAGACACCUACGGGUGGCAGCAGUCGAGAAUCAUUCACAAUGGGCGAAAGCCUGAUGGUGCGACGCCGCGUGGAGGAUGACAGCCCUAGGGUUGUAAACUCCUGUCAUGAGAAAGCAAAGACUUAACGUUAAUACCGUUGGGUCCUGAUAGUAUCUCAAGAGGAAGGGACGGCUAACUUCGUGCCAGCAGCCGCGGUAAUACGAAGGUCCCAAGCGUUGUUCGGAAUUACUGGGCGUAAAGCGUGCGUAGGUGGCAUGGUAAGUCAGAUGUGAAAUCCCGGGGCUCAACCCCGGAACUGCAUCCGAUACUGCCAAGCUAGAGUAGUGGAGGGGAGUCUGGAAUUCACGGUGUAGCAGUGAAAUGCGUAGAUAUCGUGAGGAACACUAGUGGCGAAGGCGAGACUCUGGACACUAACUGACACUGAGGCACGAAGGCUAGGGUAGCGAAAGGGAUUAGAUACCCCUGUAGUCCUAGCAGUAAACGGUGCGCGUUUGGUGUGGGCGGGUUCGACCCCGUCCGUGCCGAAGCUAACGCGUUAAACGCGCCGCCUGGGGAGUACGGCCGCAAGGCUAAAACUCAAAGAAAUUGACGGGGACCCGCACAAGCGGUGGAGUAUGUGGCUUAAUUCGAUGCAACGCGAAGAACCUU
rnacentral:rRNA from 1 species